rnacentral:rRNA from 1 species
ACGGAGGAUGCGAGCGUUAUCCGGAUUUAUUAGGUUUAAAGGGUGUGUAGGCGGAUUAUUAAGUCAGUGGUGAAAUCUCAGAGCUUAACUCUGAAACUGCCAUUGAUACUGGUAAUCUUGAGUACAGUUGAAGUAGGCGGAAUGUGUAAUGUAGCGGUGAAAUGCUUAGAUAUUACACAGAACACCGAUUGCGAAGGCAGCUUACUAAGCUGUUACUGACGCUGAUGCACGAAAGCGUGGGGAGCGAACAGGAUUAGAUACCCUGGUAGUCCACGCCGUAAACGAUGAUUACUCGUUGUUGGCGAUAUAUUGUCAGCGACUGAGCGAAAGCAAUAAGUAAUCCACCUGGGGAGUACGGCGGCAACGCUG